GACGAACGCUGGCGGCGUGCUUAACACAUGCAAGUCGAACGGAAAGGCCCUGCUUUUGUGGGGUGCUUGAUUGGCGAACGGGUGAGUAACACGCGAGUAACCUGCCCCUGACUUUGUGAUAACUCCAGGAAACUGCGGCUAAUAUCCGAUAGGAUCUUCUGCUGCACGGUGUGGGUUGGAAAGUUUCGGUGGUUCGGUAUGGACUCGCGGCAUCGCCGCUUGUUGGUGGAGUAGUAGCUUAACAAGGCUUUGACGGGUAGCCAGCCUGAGAGGGUGACAGGCCACAGUGGGACAGGGGUACGGCCCGGACUCCUACGGGAGGAAGGAGUGGAGAAUUGUGCGCAAAGGGCGGCGGCCUGGUGCAGCAACGCCGGGUGGGAGAUGACGGCUAUCGGGUUGUAAAACGCUUUCGCCUGAGACGGAGCGUGAGUGACGGAAAUAGGUAGAGAAGCACCGGCUAACUACGU
rnacentral:rRNA from 1 species